AUUGUAUUUCAGGUGGCUGAAUUGUACCUUAGCUAUUUCUGUUCCCAUCCAUGGAGAACCAGGACACUGAGUUUCUGGUUAAACAGAAACUUAGAUCUUGAGGAAUUUACCAAAAAUGUAGGUACGUCUUGAUACAACUGGGAUGGUCACAUAACAGAUAGCUUGAUACCGAAACAGGAACACUUGCUUAAAAUCAAGCUUCAGUGUCUAGAGAUCUUUGAAGCUUCUCUUUCAGUGGUGAUGUAAUGCAUUACGAAAUGAAGAGAUGAGACUGAAUCUCAAAGAUCUUAGAAAGUUCUGUCCAGUUGAUUAGGGACUGAAAAGAUUUUUUUACCUUUCAAGGUUAAAUAUUCCCAGAUGAGUCCUAUGCCUAAAAGCUUAGUCCUGCUGUUUUUCAACUAAUCAUUUGCAAAACUGAAGGAAAAAUAAAAAUUAAAAAGGUAAGACAGAAAAAAAAAAAAAAAAAAAAAAAGAGAGACUUCUGGUAGGUGAGCCACAGCAGGGCAAUUAAGAUGAUAUGGCAGAGGUAGACAUCUGCUCCUAGACAGAUACAGUUCCACUGAUGCUAUCUAUAGCUGCAAUCCUUCUGAGAGAUAAACAACGUGCGAGAGCAACGCACAGAAGGAAAUACCACACUGAGAAAAUGAUGAUGGGAGACCAAGCUUGCGGCCCCUGUGGUCUGAGAAAGAGUGAGAGGCAGCAAAAGAAAAAGGGAGGGGUGACAUGUGGGGCCUGUACCAGGCACACGCAGGUGACUGAGUCGUAUGAUGGACACACAUCAAGAUGUAAAGCUGGAAGCUGUGUGAGAACUGACGCUGGAGGGGAGCAGAAUCACAGCAAAGAUGAAAGGUACAAUAUGACUGAGAAAAAGAGGAUGGAAAACCCCUCUCUAAGCUCUAUGUAUAAAGCUACAGUUAAACUAUGAUGAAAUUAAAAAUAAUAAUAAUAAUAAUCUUUAACAGAUGAUUUAUUGACUAAGAUUUGAAGGCUUGGAUAGUUUCUCAGACUUUCAAACUCAUAUUUAGGUUCCUCAAAAACUUCAGCUAUACUCCUCAGGGUAGAUGGUUACUUAUUUCUAUUUCAUAUGACUGCCAUAGUGAUGUUUAGACACAGAAGUAGUAUUUCCCCCUCCCCUUCAUGCUUAGUGCAAAACAAACCAAAAGGAGGAUGUAGCAUCUGUUCCAAAUAACUUUCAAGCCAAGGAAAACCGACACUGUUUCAUUUAAGCAGUACUUGGAGGGAGAGGACACCAGGUAAUCAGCUCCCCAAUCUCAGAGAUAGGAGUUCUGAGAAGGUAAGGCAUAUCACCUCCAACCAUCACUGGUAAUGUGGUGGUUCUUUGUGUCACCUGCCCCUCAUGACAUCUGCCUCUCAGUUUGUUGAGAGGAGAGCUUGUUUGCACUCCUCUCAUGUAAGGAGUCUGGCCUCCUAGCAAAACUGAGGGAGCAUCCUUCAUCCCUCCAUAUUUCCUUCACAGCAAUGAAGUCUUAGCAUUCAUUUGCCUUAAAACAAAAGAAAACAAAAACAAACAAACAAAAAACCUCAGGAUUUAAGAAACUCUGGAAAACUUACAGCAAGAAUUUGAGGCCAAGGAGUUUGCAGAGAGCGCAGGCCACCAGCAGCCAGCCAGGAUAUCCUGGUGGGGAGGUGCUCUGCCUUGAAUGAUGUGCUCUCAUUCUCUUCCAG
ensembl:lncRNA